rnacentral:lncRNA from 1 species
UUUAUGUUUUUUUAAAAACAAAUUAUAAGCUCAAGAAUUCACACCAAUAAACUGUAAUAAUGAUAUAUGAGAAUUGAAAAAAUAGGAGAACAUCAAUUUGGCCUAUCAUAAAUAAUUGUCUUACGAAGUGAAACGUAUUUCGAAAAGUACAAACAAAGUUACAUUCUAAAAAUAGUUAACUAAGAAAAUAUAAUUGUUACUUAUUUAAAGAAUGAUCUAAUUAUAGAUUGAAGAGAAAGGAAGAAUUACCACACUAUAAUAUAUACAAAUAAUUUCUCUCAAAGGAAUUGCAGCUAGUGAUAGUUAGAAUAUAUUAUUUACAUGUGAAUUUUUUGU